rnacentral:rRNA from 1 species
GGAGGGGGCAAGCGUUAUUCGGAAUUAUUGGGCGUAAAGGGCGCGUAGGCGGCUUGGCAAGUCGAAGGUGAAAUCCCUCGGCCCAACCGAGGAAUUGCCUUCGAAACUGCCUCGCUUGAGGCCGGGAGAGGGUAGUGGAAUCCCCAGUGUAGCGGUGAAAUGCGUAGAUAUUGGGAGGAACACCAGUGGCGAAGGCGGCUGCCUGGACCGGUUCUGACGCUGAGGCGCGAAAGCGUGGGGAGCAAACAGGAUUAGAUACCCUGGUAGUCCACGCCGUAAACGAUGGGUACUCGGUGCUGCGGGUAUCGACCCCCCCUGCAGUGCCUUAGCUAACGCGUUAAGUACCCCCGCCUGGGGAGUACGGUCGCAAGGCUG